rnacentral:rRNA from 1 species
GACGAACGCUGGCGGCGUGCUUAACACAUGCAAGUCGAACGGAAAGGCCCCGCUUUUGUGGGGUGCUCGAGUGGCGAACGGGUGAGUAACACGUGAGUAACCUGCCCUUGACUUUGGGAUAACUUCAGGAAACUGGGGCUAAUACCGGAUAGGAGCUCCUGCUGCAUGGUGGGGGUUGGAAAGUUUCGGCGGUUGGGGAUGGACUCGCGGCUUAUCAGCUUGUUGGUGGGGUAGUGGCUUACCAAGGCUUUGACGGGUAGCCGGCCUGAGAGGGUGACCGGCCACAUUGGGACUGAGGUACGGCCCAGACUCCCACGGGAGGGAGCAGUGGGGAAUAUUGCACCAUUGGCGGAAGGCCGAUUCAGCAACGGCGGGUGCGGGAUGACGGCCUUCGGGUGGUAAACCGCUUUCGCCUGUGACGAAGCGUGAGUGACGGUAAUGGGUAAAGAAGCACCGGCUAACUACGU